AGAGUUUGAUCCUGGCUCAGAUUGAACGCUGGCGGCAGGCCUAACACAUGCAAGUCGAGCGGAUGAUGGGAGCUUGCUCCCGGAUUCAGCGGCGGACGGGUGAGUAAUGCCUAGGAAUCUGCCUGGUAGUGGGGGACAACGUUUCGAAAGGAACGCUAAUACCGCAUACGUCCUACGGGAGAAAGCAGGGGACCUUCGGGCCUUGCGCUAUCAGAUGAGCCUAGGUCGGAUUAGCUAGUUGGUGGGGUAAAGGCCUACCAAGGCGACGAUCCGUAACUGGUCUGAGAGGAUGAUCAGUCACACUGGAACUGAGACACGGUCCAGACUCCUACGGGAGGCAGCAGUGGGGAAUAUUGGACAAUGGGCGAAAGCCUGAUCCAGCCAUGCCGCGUGUGUGAAGAAGGUCUUCGGAUUGUAAAGCACUUUAAGUUGGGAGGAAGGGCAGUAAGUUAAUACCUUGCUGUUUUGACGUUACCAACAGAAUAAGCACCGGCUAACUUCGUGCCAGCAGCCGCGGUAAUACGAAGGGUGCAAGCGUUAAUCGGAAUUACUGGGCGUAAAGCGCGCG
rnacentral:rRNA from 1 species